rnacentral:rRNA from 1 species
UCUACGGGAGGCCGCAGUCGAGAAUCUUCCACAAUGGACGAAAGUCUGAUGGAGCGACGCCGCGUGAUUGAUGAAGUCCUUCGGGACGUAAAGAUCUUUUAUGGGAGAAGAAGUUUAUUGACGGUACCCCAUGAAUAAGAGGCUCCUAACUCUGUGCCAGCAGGAGCGGUANUACAGAGGCCUCAAGCGUUAUCCGGAAUCACUGGGCGUAAAGGGUGCGUAGACGGUUGUGUUAGUCUUGUGUCAAAACCUCUUGCUUAACAGGAGGAUCGCACAGGAAACGGCACGACUUAGAGGAUGUGAGAGGUGUGCGGAACUCAUGGUGUAGGGGUGAAAUCCGUUGAUAUCAUGGGGAACACCAAAAGCGAAGGCAGCACACUGGCACAUUCCUGACGUUGAGGCACGAAAGCGUGGGUAGCGAAUGGGAUUAGAUACCCCUGUANUC